CACGUUGAUGAUCCAACCUCAGCGUAUUCUUUGCUUAUCGCUGAGGUGCGACAUUCCGUGUA
rnacentral:pre_miRNA from 1 species